rnacentral:rRNA from 1 species
UGGGGGAUAUUGCACAAUGGGCGAAAGCCUGAUGCAGCGACGCCGCGUGGGGGAUGAAGGCCUUCGGGUUGUAAACUUCUUUUGCUCUGAACAAGGCAUGCCUUUGGGGUGUGUUGAGUGUAGGGGUUGAUUAGCGCCGGCUAACUAUGUGCCAGCAGCCGCGGUAAUACGUAGGGCGCGAGCGUUGUCCGGAAUUAUUGGGCGUAAAGGGCUUGUAGGUGGCUGGUUGCGUCUGUCGUGAAAGCUCAUGGCUUAACUGUGGGUUUGCGGUGGGUACGGGCUGGCUUGAGUGCAGUAGGGGAGGCUGGAAUUCCUGGUGUAGCGGUGGAAUGCGCAGAUAUCAGGAGGAAUACCGGUGGCGAAGGCGGGUCUCUGGGCUGUUACUGACGCUGAGGAGCGAAAGCGUGGGGAGCGAACAGG